GUUCACUUAAUAUAAAAUAUAGUAUAUUUAACUUCGAAUUAAAAAGUCUAAAAAGAGUGAAUA
rnacentral:tRNA from 1 species